rnacentral:rRNA from 1 species
GAUGAACGCUGGCGGUAUGCCUAACACAUGCAAGUCGUACGAGAGUUUUUAACUCUAGUGGCGGACGGGUGAGUAACACGUGAGAAUUUGCCUUUAGGAGGGGGACAACAAUUGGAAACGAAUGCUGAUACCCCAUAUGCUUUCGAGUGAAAUGGAUUUUAUCCGCCUAGAGAGAAGCUCGCGGCUGAUUAGCUUGUUGGUAAGGUAAGAGCUUACCAAGGCGACGAUCAGUAGCCGGCCUGAGAGGGUGAACGGCCACAUUGGGACUGAGACACGGCCCAAACUCCUACGGGAGGCAGCAGUGGGGAAUAUUGCACAAUGGGGGAAACCCUGAUGCAGCGACGCCGCGUGAGUGAAGAAGUAUUUCGGUAUGUAAAGCUCUAUCAGCAGGGAAGAUAAUGACGGUACCUGACUAAGAAGCCCCGGCUAACUACGUG